GCGGUUCGUAACUUUGUCCUUUCCUGUUACGGAGCCGCGUGUCACGUGGGCAGAUUCUCAAGUGUCGUGCUGUCCUUUCUCCUCUCACACCUUCUUUUGUUAAGACUGACUCUUGUUUGAGACAGGUCACCCGCCUGCUGGCAACGCAGGAGCCAGGAAGGCCGGGAGGAAACGAGAUGUCUGCUCGCAUCUCGUGCAGCUGUUCUGCCUCCUUCCCUAUUCGCGAUCCAGCACCGUGUUCGCGUCCGUGCACGAGGUCGGAUUUAUCAGCAGGCGCUGCGGUCUCAUCUACAGUUGACGGGACUUGAAGCCACUCCAAAGUGAUGGAGGAGAUUGCCAUGAGAAUGGGAAGAGCCAUGAAGGCAAGGGGUCACUUCCCUUCACAGUAGGCCUUGUUUGGAGGUCUCUCAUGCCCGCUCGAGCAGAAGGACCCUGAAGCUUCAGGAGCAGGUCCAGUUAAAAUGCAACGCACUUUGCUGAACCAUUCAAUUGUGGAGGACGUUUGGGCUCUUGGUUCCUGUUGUGAAGAGGCUUAUUGGAAACGCAGUACAAGCACGUGUUAUCCUGCUCUGAGCAGAUGCCCAGUCAGCUGGACAUUACUGAAACUCUCAAAACUCCCCCGAGCGACUCUCCAUGUUCCAUUAAAGUAGAAGUCCAGGUGUGAGCAUGGCUGCAAGGCUCUGGCUAUGCCUCCUGGCUCCCAGACACACUUUCUGGCCUCCUCUUCCGUCGUUUCCCGGCAUGCCACCCAUCACCGCAGCCGUCUUGGCAUUCCUAGAAUGUAAGCUCUGUGAGGCCAAAAACUUCAUCGUGUGUUUCCUACGACAUCAUCCAUGUCCGAUGGUGCCUGCUCCACAGAUGACCUCAGUGAGUGUUCGUGGGAAGAAUGAGUAGUGUCCCUCACUUCACUGGCUUGGAAAGGGAUGACGUGCAGUGUCUGUCGAACUCCACGCUGCCUCAGAUGGCCCCACAUGGGCUGGGGUGGUCUGUGCCUUGAAAGGAGAAGAGAGGACAGUACCUAUGAACGGGCAGCAGAGGACAGUGUGGCACAUGCAGAGGGCAUCGGACUAGAUCUCCGGCUAUCAGGAAGCACUGGCAAAACCACUUCCUUUACUCUCCCCCACAGGAAGCCGAUGUCUGGGUCCAGAACCAGCACCCAACUUCUGCAUUUCUGAGGGAAGCUGCCAUAGCUUCCCAGAAGGGAAAGGAUGUUCCUGAGCCAAGGGAGGCUGUGCAUGAUGGGGGAAGCCCAGGGGCCCUGCAGCCCCUCUACUUCUUCCGUCUUUACUAGAAUGGAAAGUGGUCCUGGUGGUCUUUGAGCCAGGCUUGCUGUUGGGUCAGAGUUGACAAACUUCCUCUCAGGCUGUCCUCCGGGGACAGAAACCACAGACCAUUAACACUACUCCCCCUCAUGGACAAAUGCUGGUUAAGAUUCCUCACUUAGGGGCGCCUGGGUGGCACAGCGGUUAAGCGUCUGCCUUCGGCUCAGGGCGUGAUCCCGGCGUUAUGGGUUCGAGCCACAUCAGGCUCCUCUGCUGUGAGCCUGCUUCUUCCUCUCCC